rnacentral:rRNA from 1 species
UAAUACGUAGGGAGCAAGCGUUGUCCGGAUUCACUGGGUGUAAAGGGUGCGCAGGCGGAUUGGCAAGUCAGGGGUGAAAUCUCACGGCUUAACCGUGAAACUGCCUUUGAUACUGCCUAUCUUGAGUUAGGGAGAGGUUGAUGGAAUUCCAGGUGUAGCGGUGAAAUGCGUAGAUAUCUGGAAGAACACCAGUGGCGAAGGCGGUCAACUGGCCCUAAACUGACGCUCAUGCACGAAAGCGUGGGGAUCAAACAGGAUUAGAUACCCUGGUAGUCCACGCCCUAAACGAUGAAUACUUGGUGUUGGUCCUUUUGGAUCAGUGCCGGAGGUAACCUGGUAAGUAUUCCACCUGGGGAGUACGCUCGCAAGGGUG